rnacentral:rRNA from 1 species
UACAGAGGUGGCAAGCGUUGUUCGGAAUUACUGGGCGUAAAGGGCGCGUAGGCGGUCUUGCAAGUCCCGUGUGAAAUCCCUCGGCUCAACUGAGGAACUGCACGGGAAACUGCUUGGCUUGAGUUCGGGAGAGGGAAGCGGAAUUCCGGGUGUAGCGGUGAAAUGCGUAGAUAUCCGGAGGAACACCGGUGGCGAAGGCGGCUUCCUGGACCGACACUGACGCUGAGGCGCGAAAGCGUGGGGAGCGAACAGG